UGCAAUUGCCUAAAGUAACUAGGAAAAUAAAACUAAUAUUCACAUUUUAAAGAAAAUGUACAGCAUUGAAGAGGCUUUCAGGGUAGGGCAUAGCUGCAUUACCUGAGUGUUCCCUAGGCUUCCGACCUUAGAUGCUAUCGCACUGGGGGAACCUGGUGUGCUGACUCUAAGGAACAGCACGGGGCGUGGAGUGGCGCGG